GUUGUUUUGAUAUAAAAAAAAAAUUGUAUUUUCAGUGAAAAAUUAUUCAGAUAGUGUUUGUUAUUUUUUUAAACAGAAAUCUUGGAAAUUCGAAACUAACGUAUUUCUUAGCUCUACCGUACAUUUUUGAAAAGGCGCAAACUUGAAAACGCGCGAGACGUUGGAAGUGGGAAUUUGGAGAGUGGAAGGAUAGGUAUUUGUGAUCUAUAAUAUUUGCAUAGUCACUGAUCUUUGUCAACUUUUGAAGAAAAUAACAGAAUAUGAAGAAGGAAGACUAUAUAUAGGAUUGAUCUACUUCAUAACUGGAAAAAGAGAAGCAGUUCACAAAUGUUGAUGAGCAGAAGACAAGAAACUGGCUGCAAAAAAAAAUCUGAGCUCUUGAAAAAGAAAGAAAAAAAGAAUUGAAAAUAUGAAUGAUAUUCAAUCAAAGGAUCCAAAUGAUGAAAUUCUGGAAAUUCCACAUGGAGAGACAAUAAGGAUUUUUGAAUUGACCAUCUCUGCUAUAAGAACUGCUUGAAAGCUGUUACCCUGGUGCUGAACAUACUUUUCUCCUAGACUGGAAUUAAAAAUUGUUCAAUUUCUGGCAUUAAAACACAAUUUGAAAUAUGCUGAGGAAGGACCCCCCUCUCCUUUUGACCAAGUAAGGUUAAACAUUCUGCAAAGAGUUGCAUUUGAAUUGAAAUUUUUUAUACUUUUACCAGGAAUGAACUACAUUACUCAUUUACUAUGGUUUAAUGUGUCAGAAUUGUCUAUUUUAAGUUUUUUGACAAAGAUUUUGUUGCCAUGGUUGGAAAACAAACAACAUUUCUGUGAAAUCUUUCAAGAUGCUGUAUUAUAAAUCAUCUACUGUUACUUUUUUAGCAUGACUUCAUGCAUUUUCAUGAAUAAACAUGAAUAAUAAUA